UAAUGCUUCACCUUCAAUGUCCCAUACCCAGAAUUGGUGCCAACAAUCGAUGGAGCUCACGAUAAUCUUACUCUCAUCUAAUCUUAAGAGUCGACGGCUUGAAGACGGUCGGCUUAAAUGCCUUAAAGAUGGCAGGCACAAAACAUCAAUAACCCUCCACAAAGCCAGAACCCAGAAAAACACAAGCCACAUUCGACUUAACUAAGAAAAUCAAUGACCAAGCAGAUCUUCAAAGGCAAACCCUCACUAGGACCACUAGAUUUGCAAAAAAAUAAAAACGAAAUAUCAUCCUAACUCAAAAGGUGCAGAGUGAGAAACCCACACUCUGAGUUAGG
rnacentral:misc_RNA from 1 species